CGCGUAGGCGGGAAGGCAAGUCGGAUGUGAAAUCCCGAAGCUCAACUUCGGAACUGCAUUCGAAACGGCCUUUCUUGAGGAUAGACGGAGAAGACGGAAUUCCACGUGUAGCGGUGAAAUGCGUAGAUAUGUGGAAGAACACCGGUGGCGAAGGCGGUCUUCUAGUUUAUUCCUGACGCUGAGGCGCGAAAGCAAGGGGAGCGAACAGGAUUAGAUACCCUGGUAGUCC
rnacentral:rRNA from 1 species